AUUCUUUUGUAGUCAUAAGUGUGAUGAUUUGGUUUCAUAUUCCUGUGAGAUGUGCCUCCUUCAGACCUUAUGAAGGCAGCACGUUACCUAUCUAACA
ensembl:snoRNA